GGGGAUAUAGCUCAGUUGGUAGAGUGCUUGCCUUGCAAGCACAAGGCCCUGGGUUCAAUCCCCAGCACCA
rnacentral:tRNA from 1 species